UACGUAGGGUGCAAGCGUUGUCCGGAAUUAUUGGGCGUAAAGAGCUCGUAGGCGGUUUGUCGCGUCGGCUGUGAAAACCCGGGGCUCAACCCCGGGCUUGCUUUCGAUACGGGCAGACUAGAGGUAUGCAGGGGAGAACGGAAUUCCUGGUGUAGCGGUGAAAUGCGCAGAUAUCAGGAGGAACACCGGUGGCGAAGGCGGUUCUCUGGGCAUUACCUGACGCUGAGGAGCGAAAGUGUGGGGAGCGAACAGG
rnacentral:rRNA from 1 species